UAUUCCUUUGGUUUUACUUAUAGUCCCAGGUGGCAGUGCAGGGCACUCGGAUUGGCAUGAGCCCUGCAGAAGUGAGGCCCUCAGACACCAACAUGGCCCCAGGUGGCAGCCCAGAUGACCACAUCAGCAUGGUCUUCAAUAGUCUCAGGAGCUAUGGACAUCAACACAGACCCUGGAUACAGUGGCUCUUCUGACAUAAGAUAGAAAUUUUGAAUUUUCCUUUAACAAGCAUGCUUGGAUUGAGAAAAGACGAGAACCGUGCUCCAACUCCAAAACCAGCUUUAAUUUUCAAUUUUAUUGGGACUACAAAAAGACCAUUUGCCUUAUAUGUCUGUAGAGCACAGCAGAAACAAACAUUUGGGAAGAUUUAUGAAAUUUUAUCCUGUUGAAAGUGUGCUAUACCAUUAGGCCAAUUUAUUCUUUUUCUUGGGACAUUUUCUCUGGAUGAUUUGGCCUUUUUCAAGUGUCUCAUUUAUCCAGUGGUCUUCAGAUUCCUUAGUUGGAUGCUUUUAUUCUCCUAGAAAUACAAAAAAGAAAACCCUGCUCCAACUCUGACUUUGGGGAGUUUCCCUUUUUGUCAGGUUAUAUCUGAUCAAAUGAAAGGCAAUUGUUACUCCUAUAAGUGAGUUCAGAUUGAAUGGCCAUGUGUUUGAUGAAAUAUUGCCUCUCAUAAUCAUAGGGCUCUCCUGUUCAAAUCUAAUAUUUAGCGAUUUUUAGUGGUAUCCACAGUUUUUCUUCUCCUGUGGAAACAAAAGCAAAAUGUCUUCCCUAACAUAACACAUAUGCUGGUUUCUAUUCUGAGGUCAACACAUCUUUAAAGUAUGUAGGCUGAUUUAAUUCAGCAGUUUUUUUUUCUAUUAUCCAAUGUCUCUACACAGCUGUUGUUCCUUUAGACUAGUAUUUUAAAAAUUUAAAGUUAAUAAAACAUUGUGUAAUCUAUCUCUGGGGGUCUUUAUUACCCCUUUCUGUUUAUUAAGCAUAUCUUCUAAAGUGCAAUUAGAUAUUUCUAUAACUGCUUGUCCUACAGGAUUGUGUGGUAUACCUGUAAUAUCUUUAUGUUGUAAUAUGCAGAAAACGGUUUCAUUUUACUAGAGACAUAUUCUGGAGUGUUCUUAGUUUUCACUUGUACAGGUAUUCCCAUAAUGGGCAUAACUUCUAGUAAAUGUGUAAUUAUAGAAUCAGCCUUUUCAGAACUCAAAGCAGUUGCCCAUUGAAUUGCUGAAUAUGAUUCUAUGGUAUGGUGCACAUACUUUAAUUUUCCAAACUCUGCAAAAUGCAACACAUCCAUUUGCUACAUUUUGUUUCUUUGGGUUAUUUUGUGCUGGUAAUGUAGUUUGGUUAAACAAAGAACAAGUAGGAUAUUUCCUUACAAUUUCCUUGAUUUGUUGCCAAGUGAUAGAAAAAUCUUUCUUUAAACCUUUACUAUUAACAUAGAGUUUCUUAUGAAAUUCUGGGGCUUCUAGCACUUUUCCUGCCAAUAGCUGAUCAAUUUCAUAAUUACCUUGUGUUAGAGGGCCUGGUAGACCUAUAUGGGAUCUGAUAUGUGUUAUAUACAAGGGAUGAUUUCUAUUUCUGAUUACUUUUGUAGUUGAAUAAAUUUCAAAAUUAAAUCUGAAUCAUCUGGAAUACAUUCAAUAGUUUCAAUAUAUAAAACAAUUCAUUUUGCAUACUGAGAGUCAGUAACUGUGAUGGCUAUUAUUGAUUGUCAACUUGCCUAUAUCUGGAAUGAUAAUCCAGAAAUGGAGAGCACACCUGUGAUCCUGAUUGUGAGGCAGGAAGACAACAUGCCUUUGAUCCAGAUCUUGAGGCUGGAUGACACAUGCCUUUAAUCUGGGCCACACAUUCUGUUGGAAGUCUGUAUAAGGACAAUAGAAGAAGGAAGGGUAUGUUCUUUAUCUGAUUGCCCACACCUCCAUCAGCACAUCCAUUCCUUCUUCAAGAUCCCAGAAGACCAGCUGAGACACCAAGCCUCAUGGGACUGAGCAGCUAUUAGAUUCUUGGACUUUCCAUUCACUGCUAGCCAUUGUUGGACUAUAAUGUGUUUGUGAUGGUACAUGAGAUGUUAAUGAACUGAAUCUUUGAAACUGUAAGCCAUCACCUCAAUUAAAUGUUUCUUUGUAA